UUAAUAACAUUCUUUUUACAUUUAAUAAAACAAAAAGAAGAAUUCUUCCUUCAUUUCAGUUGAGCAUCAAGUCAUCCCUGGGGCCCUGCAAAUGCUCAUCCAACUUCCACACUUCGUCCAGUCCGGUCUCCCACCAGUUGUCCUCCCACGGCUCAUUCGGCAGGUGCUCAGCACGCUGCUGUCCAUGCCACUGCGCAUGAUCUUGGCAGCCUCGUCCCUCUUCCGCUUGACCUUGCACUUCAUGGCAUCUCUCUCGGCGUGGCGCUUGAUGGUGAUGGUGACGUAGUACUCCCGGCAGUGGAAGCGUUGUGUCCCUACCAAAGCUGAGACCAAACCUACGUGGCAACAUGCAGCUAGUUAAGAGUGCAAUCAUUAUCAGGUGACAUUGAGUUUUACUGCUGUGUUAUACUGCAAGCAAGAUACACCCACAGUAUGCACCCAUGCAGCACCCAUUUUAUGUUUCACAGGAAAAGGAUAUUCCGAUGUGUCCACUGACACUGCAACUCUCUGAACUGAAGGUUCAAGAGGCUUUACUGAAUGCAAUGACCAGUGAAGGCAAGUGGCACCUGAAUCAGUCACACCUUCGGCAGCCAUCUUAAGAUUUGAUCAACAGGAAAUAGAUAUAUUUAACUGUGGCUUCAAGCAGCCAUCACGUUGCACUUUGUACCCAACAGGAGAUAUUUUAUGAUACAAUAUGGGAGGAAAUAGAUGUAACCAGAGCUUCAAGGUACUUCGAGCCGAGUUACAUUAAUACAUGUCUGGCACUUCUUAUCGAAUGCAUUUAUCUGACGAUCCACUUACAUUUUCUGACAAUGGCAAGUGGAGGAUCUUUCACACCCUAUGAUCUGAGGAUUCUGUUGCUGGGACCUAGAGGAGCAGGAAAGACUUAUGUGGCUGACAAAAUUAUUGGCCAUGAGACUUCUGAAGAAAACAUUGGACUGUGCAUAGAGAAAAAAGGAAAAUGGAAAUGACAAACGGUGACUGUGGUGGACACGCCUGGCUGGGACAGUGUAGCUGUGCAGCAAACACAUUUUCAAACUGAACGGAUCGUGGAAGGUGCAGCCUUGUGCGUACCAGGACCUAAUGCCUUGAUCCUAGUGCUGCCCAUAUCAACGUAUGCAGAUGUGCUUUCAACUGAGAUUCACACUGCCUGCCAACACAUAGAGCUUUUGUCAGAGAGGGCCUGGAAUUACACCAUGGUGCUGUUUGUGUGCAAAUAUGAGGUGGAGGAAUCUGUCAUUGGUCGGCAUGUGAAGGCUACGCAGAAGCUUCUUGAAAAAUGUGAUCAUCGGCAUUUCAUCCUCCGGAAUGACUCUCGGGUUGCCGACCUGCAGCAGGUGAUAGAGGAUCUAGUGAGAAAGACCUGUGGAGAGUGUCUGAGCUAUAGUAGAGAUAUCCUCCCAAGCUAUUCUCAGGCAAAAUCGGAUGGCACUGCAGAGCUACACAAACAAUCAGAACAGACAGUGAAACAUUCUGAUGAGAUGAAGAGACGCGAUAGCUCUGAAACGAUACGUCCAACUAUGCAAGAGACAGGAAAGAGCGAAGUGGCUGUUCAGGAUCAAGGGGACAUACUUGCUCUUCUUGGACGGUAUGCACCACCAUCAGGGAUCAUAAUGACGGCUUAUAUUGGAGCACUUUUGGGAGCAGUAGCUGGGGCAACUGAUGGAGUGGCUGGAUCAGCUAGAGGUCUAGUGUUGGGAGUAACUGGGGGCAUUCUGGUGGCCAUGAUGGUAAUUGGAGCAGCAAGGUUUUCAAGAGGCAAUGGCAUCCAAAGUGGUGCACACCAGAGCACCAAUAUAAGGGAUGUAGGCUCAACUGAAAAGGCCAAAGAGCAAUAAGAUGCAUGUGAGAGGUAAAGUAAAUAUAGCUGAGGCCUUUUGUGUUUCACAGUUAUUUGCGUAAGGGAUAAUGGACGACACUCCAUUAGAUUAUCUGAAAAUAAACGCACGUUCAAGGUUGUAAUGCAACCAUGACGCGCAGCGGAAUGCCCAGUAGAUUUCUAUUUAAUGCAUUGUUUUAUCUGAAUCUGUAUUUGACAUCAAUCUUGUUAAGUUUAUGUUUAAGUCUUGUUUUUUUGAUUAAGCUUACAUUGUUAAACUGACAUCUAACCUGUUGUAGUGUAUCUGUCUGAUUUUACUUCAAUUUAAGUGAUAUUGGUUACAUUUAAGUUUACUGGUUAAUAAAUAGUUAAUUCACCACCAUU